rnacentral:miRNA from 1 species
UCUGAGGAGCUGUCUUAGUGGAGU